GACGAACGCUGGCGGCGUGCUUAACACAUGCAAGUCGAACGGAAAGGCCCUGCUUUUGUGGGGUGCUCGAGUGGCGAACGGGUGAGUAACACGUGAGUAACCUGCCCUUGACUUUGGGAUAACUUCAGGAAACUGGGGCUAAUACCGGAUAGUAGCUCCUGCUGCAUGGUGGGGGUUGGAAAGUUUCGGCGGUUGGGGAUGGACUCGCGGCUUAUCAGCUUGUUGGUGGGGUAGUGGCUUACCAAGGCUUUGACGGGUAGCCGGCCUGAGAGGGUGACCAGCCACAAUGGGACUGAGAUACGGACCAGACGCCUAAGGGACGCAGCAGUGGGGAAUAUGGCAGAAUGAGCGGAAGCCUGAGGCAGCAACGCCGCGUGCGGGAUAACGGCCUUAGGGGGGUAAACCGAUUUGGCCUGUGACGAAGCGGGAGUGACGGUAAUGGGUAAAGAAGCACCGGCUAACUACGUG
rnacentral:rRNA from 1 species